UACGUAGGGGGCAAGCGUUGUCCGGAUUUAUUGGGCGUAAAGAGCUCGUAGGCGGCUUGGCAAGUCGGGUGUGAAAACUUCAGGCUCAACCUGGAGCGGCCACUCGAUACUGCUAUGGCUUGAGUCCGGUAGGGGACCACGGAAUUCCUGGUGUAGCGGUGAAAUUGCGCAGAUAUCAGGAGGAACACCAGUGGCGAAGGCGGUGGUCUGGGCCGGAACUGACGCUGAGGAGCGAAAGCGUGGGUAGCAAACAGG
rnacentral:rRNA from 1 species